GAGAAACUUACAUGCAAGUCGAGGGGCAUCGGGAGGGAAGCUUGCUUUCCUUGCCGGCGACCGGCGCACGGGUGACCAUUACGUAUGCAACCUGCCCUCUUCAGGGGGACAACCUUCCGAAAGGGAGGCUAAUCCCGCGUAUAUCGGUUUCGGGCAUCCGGGAUCGAGGAAAGAUUCAUCGGAAGAGGAUGGGCAUGCGGCGCAUUAGCUUGACGGCGGGGUAACGGCCCACCGUGGCGACGAUGCGUAGGGGUUCUGAGAGGAAGGUCCCCCACACUGGUACUGAGACACGGACCAGACUCCUACGGGAGGCAGCAGUGAGGAAUAUUGGUCAAUGGGAGAGAUCCUGAACCAGCCAAGCCGCGUGAGGGAAGACGGCCCUAUGGGUUGUAAACCUCUUUUGUCGGAGAACAAAACCCGGGACGUGUCCCGGACUGCGUGUAUCCGAAGAAAAAGCAUCGGCUAACUCCGUGCCAGCAGCCGCGGUAAUACGGAGGAUGCGAGCGUUAUCCGGAUUUAUUGGGUUUAAAGGGUGCGUAGGCGGUCCGUUAAGUCAGCGGUAAAAUUGCGGGGCUCAACCCCGUCGAGUCGUUGAAACUGCCAGACUUGAGUUGGCGAGAAGUACGCGGAAUGCGCGGUGUAGCGGUGAAUUGUAUAAUUAUCACGCAAAACUCCGAUUGUUAUUGUUUUUACCUGUUGUUUUAUUAGACCUGAAGAACCCAGCCGUGCCGUUAAUUAUUGAUCAUUUAC
rnacentral:rRNA from 1 species